rnacentral:misc_RNA from 1 species
UAAGGGAACCAAGUACAUGUACUAUCUUUGCUGAUUUUGACUUUUGCAGUAUUUUGUUAUCAAAUGCAUACUUACAGUGUAUACAUGUGUUCUGAAUUUUAGAAUAAAAGCAUAUUUCCAUUUGAAGAAAAGGGAGAUGUAGACCAAAUCUAGUCGCUUUUUCACAUGACAGGAAUAUUUUUCUUUAUGAGAAAGUCAAACUGUUGUCAUGGGUUUGCAUUUACAGCAGAAAUGUGGAACCUAAUUAAAUACAUGUAUAUAGUAUUUCUGUGUCCCUAAUUUAGAGAUGUGAAAGUUGGAGACAUAUUCGUUAUGAAAUUGCUUUAUUCUCAUUAUUCUUUUUAGCAAAUGUAUGUCCCUUUUUGUUUUGUGAAAAAAUGCAUGAAAUUUCUCAUUUUACUGCAACAUCUUUAUUUGUAUUUUGUGCCAAGAGAAAUUUGAUGACCUCGCUGUAAUAUGAGAAUGCUUUCUCAUGCAUGUAAUGUAACACAAUGGUAACACAUUGGUCAUGUUGCUCUUAAUAGUUGCUGAUAACUAUGCAUUACUCAUUGAUGUAAUAUUUUUCAUAUCCAUCUUUAUCAAAACAAAUUGAAUAAAAUGUAAAUUAAAGUAUC